GUGAUUGCAGCUGCAAAGGCAGGCUUCCCAGCCGUCGGGUAUGAACUGAAUCCGUGGCUGGUUUGGUACUCCAGAUACCGUGCUUGGAGGGAAGGCGUGCAUGGCUCUGCCAAGUUUUACAUUUCAGAUCUAUGGAAGGUCACCUUUGCACAGUACUCGAAUGUCGUUAUUUUUGGUGUGCCCCAGAUGAUUUGCCAAAGAACUGAAUAUUGAACUUUGAUUAGAUGCCACAGCUGGAGAAGAAACUUGAGUUUGAACUUGAGGAUGGUGCUAGAGUUAUUGCCUGUCGGUUCCCUUUCCCACACUGGACUCCAGACCACACCACUGGAGAGGGUAUCGACACUGUGUGGGCCUACGACAUGAGUGCUUGUAGAACACAAGGAAAGAGGGCCUGAUUGUGAUCAGCUCGGCCAGUAGAACUUGGCAGAGACAGUGGACUGUGGGCUUCCUCAUCUGAGACGCAGAGCCAGCUCCUUGACACUGAAUGACAAGUCACCGCUGCUCUCCUUGAGAAAAUGAACAGAAGCUCAGAGAAACAUUUAAGUUUAAACUCUGCUGCUUUUUAAAGGGCAGUUUCACACAGCCUGGGUUGGCCUUGAGUUUGCUGAUGACCUUGAACUUCUGAUCCUUCCACUUUUACCUCCCCAGUAAAAUGUGCUUUUAGUGG
rnacentral:lncRNA from 1 species